ACGACGUAGCAUUGUACUAGAGGCUCCUUGACCAGCAAGUCUGCCAAAUACGACACAAGCUAACAAGGAACUACCCCCCAAACGGUUUUCUCCAUGAAUACCACCAACGAUUUCGCCAGCAGCAAAGAGACCAUCGAUGACAUUUCCAUUAGUAGACAAGACGCGAGACUGAGUAUCAACCUGAACACCACCCAUGGUAUAAUGCAAAACGGGGACAACCUCACCAACAGUAAAAGUGUCAGUAAGCUCUAACGGGGUUUUUCCAAAGUAUUUUCUUCCAAACUCAUCAGGAAUCUCCCCCUUGGCAGCACGAUUAUACUCGGAAAAUGUAGAUGCUAAUUCGUCUUUAGUACAGUUCAACGUAGAACACAAUUCCUCAGCCUUCAUCUUUUUCAUCAAUCCUUUGAAGCUAUAAAAUUUGAUAAAGUUAGCAACCUCUUCGGCAGCAGCGCUAUUAAGAACUAGAUACACCGGAGAUUUAAGCUUCAUCAUUUCGCCCGUAACAUAAUCUCUGUAUCCCAAUUCAUCACAAAAACGACGUCCCUGAGAAGUUAACAAAACGGCACCUGAACCUCGAAGGGCUUCAGCAGCCAAAAAUUUUGUCAAAGCAGUAGGGUCCUUAGGAUCUACGAAACCUGUUGGGUGAAUUUGUACAAGAUCCAAGUCUACUGUGCUACCACCGAUGGACAUAACCAUUUUAUGGCCGUCACCCGUGCAAUAGGGACCAUUUGUAGUACUUAAAGAAAGAGCUUCAGGAUGAUAGAGCUUCAAAAGUGAAUCAUCACUGUAAUCGGCAGCAUAUCCACCCGUGGCGAGUACUACAGGACCAUAAACAGUAUGGUUACUUUUAUCGCUCAAGUCCAUGUAUUCCACACCAAAAACCUUGUCGUGAUUGGGAUUUGUCAAUAGACGAGUUACACGAGCAUUCUUCUUAAUUUGUAAACGAUCGGGAUGGCUAGCCGCAAACUUUUCAGUUUGAUCAACCAAAACAAAAGCCAAUGGCUUAAAAGGAUAGUCAGGAUGGGUACCACGAUGGGUACGGGGCUCAGAGUGGCCGGCCAAACGAGAAAGUUGAUCCAUUUGUAACCCAAAUCGUUCGGAUAACCAAUCGACAGCACUGCUUGACUUGGAAGUCAAGGUUCUCAAAAGUUCGGGUUUUGCCUUGGACUUUGCGGAGAGGAUGGAAUCAUUAUAGAAAGUAUUUACACUGUCGGAAACAUGCUGAUCGAACUGUAAUUGAGUAGGAGCAGCAUUAAUACCACUAGCGGCUUUGACGCUAUUUCCUCCAAAAGCAGCUAAAAGAUUGUUAGUUAAUAAAAUAACAAACAGAAGAAAUUAAUAGUUUAAUAUAGACAAAUAGUAAGGAGCACAAAAGAAAUGAGUCAACCAAAGAAAUACACGAAGGGACAUGCAUGAGUACAGUGAGAUUAGAAUUUACCGAUUAAGAACCACAAUAUGCCAGACGUAUUGAUAAAGUGACAUCCUGAAUAUCUGAGAUUUAUUUCGAAACCAAUUGCU